GCUUUCGUUUCGUGGUGCUUUGAAGUGCAGCAGCAGGCAUUGCAAUCUCAAGGGCCUCGGCAAUCAUUUUAAUCAUGGUUAAUUGCGCUGUGUUCGGAUGCAAUAACGAGUCGCGGUGGAAAGCUGACUCUGGUGAGAACACGAAGAAGCUUAGCUUUUUUCUGUGCCGAAUGUUGUUCGUUGGCAGUGCAGCCAGACCUUAGAGAUCUCAACGAAGCGUCGAGCGGAAUGGUUUCGUUGCCUCUACCGGGGUGACAUUAACACAGACGCUACCCACUACAAAGUCUGCAGCGAGCACUUCGUUUCUGGCAGGCCAUCCUACUUAAUGGAUCUGACGAAUCCGGACUGGGCGCCAAGCUUGCACCUAGGGUAUGACACAAAGUCAACAACUCGGUCUGAAGAAAGGCACCAGCGACGUUGCAAGAGGGCUGCGACCCUUGACUACAAUGCUGAAUGCGCAGCAGAGCGCUGUGAACAGUACUGUCACAAGUAAAAUGGCUUAUUCAUACAAGGUGAAUAUUUUCUUUAAUGACAUUCAGCAUCUUAACAUUUUUGUUUUUAUGCAGGCACACCACUUGCAAGCCGGCAUCCAGGAAGAUUCUUUCAAGAUGACUAUCUGCUGGUGUCCACACAAAAAAGUCGCAAUAGCUGCGCUGGCAAACAAAACGCUGCAUUUGUAUUUUUUGCGUGUAGUAAGCAUGUUGUCGUUUCUGAUUCAGUGUAUUAUCACUAGCAGCAACUUCUAAGCAGCCACUUUUCUGGGUCACAACGUCAUUUACACAAGCAGCUGAAUAUGGGCACUUAAUUUCUAAAACACCAUCUUGGCAGCAGGCACAAUAAAUCAGGCCAUCUGGGCUUGCUGCCAUGUGGGGCUCAUGUGAACUAAUAUGCAAUCCAGACUUGUUGGAAACAAACUCUUUGUGCUGGCUGGAUGCUUCAGCAACAUAUUGGUUCCUGGCAGUGUCCUCCUUGCGCAGACUCCAAUUAGUUGCAGCAGAAGAAAACUUGCUCUCCUCAGGGUAGCAGAUCUUCUUCACCAGGCUCACAGAUGGCUGAGUCAAGGUCGUUCGGCAAGCUGCGUGGGCUGUCGAUGCCGCGACCCGGC